CAGGCAAGCUCGUACACUCCAGAGGCUCCUCUGCUUCCGUGUUUCACGAGAAUGCAGUGUUACAGGAUCCUAAAUGCAGUUGUGAGGAUUAAAUGUGAAAGUGCUCAUGGCAUACAGAAUGCUGAACCCAGGCCUGGCGCAGAAGGGUCAGCCAUUUCUAAUGGGAUACAGGCACACAUGCAUGUCCACCACAUGCAUGCCUGGUGCCUGCGGAGUUCAGAAGAGAUGAUCAGAUUCCUUGGAACUGGAGUUCAGGAUGGUGGUGAGUCACUACCUUGUGGGUCCUGGGAACUGAUUUCAGGUCCUUUGGAAGAGAAGCAAGUGAUCUUGACCAGUAAGCCAUUUCUGCAGUUCCUGAGAUUAUCUCAAACCAUGAAGUAUCAUCUAAAUUUCUGUUCAAUGACUUCCAAUCUCAGAUCCACCUCAGAUUCACUGUCAGACUAGAGGUAGCAACCCCUACCAAUAUACAUUUUUUAAUCCAGAGAAUUCAGUAUUGCUUUAGUUUUUCAC
ensembl:lncRNA LOC120093103 uncharacterized LOC120093103